rnacentral:rRNA from 1 species
GACGAACGCUGGCGGCGUGCUUAACACAUGCAAGUCGAACGGUGACCCAUCUUCGGAUGGUGAUCAGUGGCGAACGGGUGAGUAACACGUGGGCAACCUGCCCCUAGCUCUGGGUUAACUCCUCGAAAGAGGUGCUAAUACCGGAUAUCACCUCCCUGGACAACCAGGGUGGUUGAAAGUUUUUCGGCUAGGGAUGGGCCCGCGGCCUAUCAGCUUGUUGGGGGGGUAAUGGCCUACCAAGGCGACGACGGGUAGCCGGCCUGAGAGGGCGACCGGCCACACUGGGACUGAGACACGGCCCAGACUCCUACGGGAGGCAGCAGUGGGGAAUAUUGCGCAAUGGGCGAAAGCCUGACGCAGCAACGCCGCGUGAGGGAUGACGGCCUUCGGGUUGUAAACCUCUUUCAGCAGGGACGAAGCGAAAGUGACUGUACCUGCAGAAGAAGCGCCGGCUAACUACGUGCCAGCAGCCGCAGUAA